rnacentral:rRNA from 1 species
AUUGAACGCUGGCGGCAGGCCUAACACAUGCAAGUCGAACGAGUGGCGGACGGGUGAGUAAUGUCUGGGAAACUGCCUGAUGGAGGGGGAUAACUACUGGAAACGGUAGCUAAUACCGCAUACCAUCAGAUGUGCCCAGAUGGGAUUAGCUUGUUGGGGGGGUAACGACUCACGAAGGCGACGAUCCCUAGCUGGUCUGAGAGGAUGACCCAACACACUGUAACUGAGACACGGUCCAGACUCCUACGGGAGGCAGCAGGGGUGAAUAUUGCACAAUGGGCGCAAGCCUGAUGCAGAAAGGACGCGUGUAUGAAGAAGGCCGUCGGGGUGUAAAGUACUUUCAGCGGGGAGGCGUUACCCGCAGAAGAAGCACCGACUAACUCCGUGCCAGCAGCCGCGGUAAUUC